UAAGAGCUUUACGUUUUUCUUGUUCUUUCUGUUUUUUCUGAAUUUCCCUCCCUUUUCCACUUUUGCUAAUGUCAAUGUCAGGUGAACUGUCAUAAAUAUCUGUUAACUGUCACCUGGUAUCGCCCUCGAAACCAACUUCUAAACUAAUAUAACAAUCAGAUAUAUCAAAAUUACUGUGUCAACACUCUCUUAUUUUUAUGUCUUUAUGGUAACGACUUAAAGUGCAAUUUCAUAAAAUUUGUAGAGAGUUCCUUUAAAGGCUGCCAUUUUAAAUAUACCUACUUACAACACUGAUAGGUUCUUAAAUAGAAAAAAAGUUCUAUGAACAAAGAACGCACUUCUUUUUUCUCAUUUAAAUUCUUUAAUAGCCUUAAUAUUUUCUUUGCAAACACUUAAAGAUUUUAUGGGGUAUUGCCUCCUAAAGAGUUUCAAUUAGAAUAUUAGAAAACACUUACGAAGAAACUAUAUGUGAACUAACGCGAUGAUUAAGGUUUGGCUUCAGUUAUACUCUUGAAAAAAGGGGAACCGCGCGAGGGGGCUCCGGGGCCACACCUUCGUGGCCGUGCACUUGCCUGACGGCAUUCCAAACUGCUCCGGGCGAGAGGCUGCCUCUGGCCUCGAAAUCCACCAGUGACGUAGGAUCUACGUUGAUUUCGCAUUCAAUUCCUUAUUAUUCUAAUGACAAAAAUGUUAUGUAUUUUUUUGUCGUAUGUAAAUUACACAAAAUACUUACAAUAAACUGUAAAUAAUGUGUAAAAUAAAGAAUAUUUCAACUUA